rnacentral:rRNA from 1 species
UACGUAGGGUGCAAGCGUUAUCCGGAAUCACUGGGUGUAAAGGGAGUGUAGGCUGGCACUUGCGUCAGAGGUUAAAUCCCCGAGCUUAACUCGGGAACCGCCUUUGAUACGGGGUGUCUUGAGUAUGAGAGAGGAUGAUGGAAUUCCUGGUGUAGCAGUGAAAUGCGUAGAUAUCAGGAGGAACACCGGUGGCGAAGGCGGUCAUCUGGCUCAUUACUGACGCUGAGGCUCGAAAGCGUGGGGAUCAAACAGGAUUAGAUACCCUGGUAGUCCACGCCCUAAACGAUGUAUGCUUGGUGUUAAUCUCGUCAGAGAUUAGUGCCGUAGGAAACCCGUUAAGCAUACCACCUGGGGAGUACGAUCGCAAGGUUGAA